UACGAAGGGGGGCUAGCGUUGCUCGGAAUCACUGGGCGUAAAGCGCACGUAGGCGGACUCUUAAGUCGGUGGCGAAAUCCUGGAGCUCAACUCCAGAACUGCCUUCGAUACUGAGAGUCUCGAGUCCGAGAGAGGUGAGUGGAACUGCGAGUGUAGAGGUGAAAUUCGUAGAUAUUCGCAAGAACACCAGUGGCGAAGGCGGCUCACUGGCUCGGGUACUGACGCUGAGGUGCGAAAGCGUGGGGAGCAAACAGG
rnacentral:rRNA from 1 species